rnacentral:snRNA from 1 species
GUUCCUCACUUCAGCUGCACAUAUACAAAGAUUGGAAAAAUACAGAGAAAAUUAGCAUGGCCCUUGUAUAAGACAUUUUGCCACAAUAAAAAUCAUUUGGUCAA